UCUACCCAGCAGUCUCCACAGGUGCUCCCUGCUACUCCUGACACACCUAGGUCAGCUGGGAGGCAUUUCCCCAGCGUCCUCACUUGUCCCUGUGAGCCUCCCACGGGAUGUCACAGUCAGUCCUCCGUACCCAUGGCUUCCUCAUCAGUGGAUUCGAUCAACCAUGGAUCAAAAAUAGUGGGAAGAAUAACAAUAUUAAAAACAACAAAAUUAAAAAUAACAAUUCAGAUUAGCCUUCGCCGCCUCAGAGCUGCUUCCAUGACCGGGCGCGGGACUCCAAGCCGCUUCCUGACCAGUGUCCUCCACAAUGGGCUGGGUCGCUAUGUGCAGCAGCUGCAGCGUCUCAGCUUCAGCCUCAGCCGCGACGGGCCCUCUUCCCGCGGUGCUAGGGAGUUCAUCGAACGGGAGGUGACCGACUUCGCCCGACGGAACCCCGGGGUCGUAAUGUACGUGAACCUGCGGCCCUGCUGCGUGCCCAGAGUAGUGGCCGAAUACCUUAACGGGGCUGUGCGCGAGGAGAGCAUGCACUGCAAGUCGGUCGAGGAGAUCGUGACGCUAGUGCAGAAGUUGGCAGACCAGUCUGGCCUGGAGGUGAUCCGCAUCCGAAAGCCCUUCCACACGGACAGCCCUAGCAUCCAGGGUCAGUGGCAGCCCUUCACCAACAAACCGACCACGUUUGGUGGGCUACGCCCCCGAGAGGUCCUGGAUCUUGCCUCAGCCAAGGUGCAAGCACAGUGAAGAGUUGCCCCAUCAACUCCAAACCCAGGCUUUGGACUCUUACUCCAGUAAAGGUGGUUUCUCCUCUUUGAGAUUCCAAGCUUAGGCAGACAAAUGGAACCCCCACCAAAGGGGAAGUUGACACCAGAGGUUUUGCUUGGGCUAAAGAACAGCUGCCUUUUUCUUUUCAGUGCCCACUUCUAGGGGCAGUAACCUUGUGAGUCCCCUAAUUCUUACCCAGUGGCAUCACUGAAACCUGAGCUGAGAGAGCCUUCAAGGUUUUUAUUUUAUUUUCUCAAGUCCAAAUUAGUAACAGUGAUCUCAAAACACAAUAAGGAGUCUCAAGUCUGACUUCUAAAUAAUCUUUGAUAUCUUGUUGCUACAACCAUUGAGCUAGAGAGAGUUAGCUGUUCUCUGCUGCAAGCCUGGCAUAGGGCUAUGCUCUUUACAUCUGUGUGAAUGUUUGUGUACAGAUUAGAAAACUGAGGUUAAUAAACUUACUCAAGGUCA